GACGAACGCUGGCGGCGCGCCUAACACAUGCAAGUCGAACGAGCGAGAGAGAGCUUGCUUUCUCAAGCGAGUGGCGAACGGGUGAGUAACGCGUGAGGAACCUGCCUCAAAGAGGGGGACAACAGUUGGAAACGACUGCUAAUACCGCAUAAGCCCACGACCCGGCAUCGGGUAGAGGGAAAAGGAGCAAUCCGCUUUGAGAUGGCCUCGCGUCCGAUUAGCUAGUUGGUGAGGUAACGGCCCACCAAGGCGACGAUCGGUAGCCGGACUGGGAGGUUGAACGGCCACAUUGGGACUGAGCCACGGCCCAGACUCCUACGGGAGGCAGCAGUGGGGAAUAUUGCCAAAUGGGGGAAACCCUGAUGCAGCGACGCCGCGUGGAGGAAGAAGGUCUUCGGAUUGUAAACUCCUGUUGUUGAGGAAGAUAAUGACGGUACUCAACAAGGAAGUGACGGCUAACUACGUG
rnacentral:rRNA from 1 species